ACCAAAGAUAUCACAAACCUUGUUAUGAAAUUUUGUCAGUCCUCUGUGGCAAAUUCUCAAAUGAGUUUCGAUGACCAAUUGCAUCAUAUGGUAAAAUCACUGAGGUAAAGGACACAAUUUGUAAGAUUGAUAUGAAUAAACUGCACAAUUAACUGGCGCUCUAGUGCUUUCAGUCUUUCCAAACAUUGUGUGUGAUAAAAUGCCAUAAAUGUUAAGUAUGAACCAUUUCUAAUUUUUGCAGAUCAAUUGUAGUCCUAGAGAAUUAUCGUGUCAUUAUAUCUUAUUGCAUUUCUUUGUUUUACAGCGAAAAAGGUGGGACAAGUUCAACAGCUAAAGAAAUGAUAAAAAACAGAAUGGUAUACCUCAGCGUGGUCGAGGUCGAGGCAGGGGUAGAGGAGCUAGCAAUCUUGUUCAGACCAAGUCAAUUUUUUCGGAAGGAAUGGGUGACAGAAAAGGUGCCAAGUACAUGAAACCGUGUGAUGUAGAAUCUGUUCCUAGAACAUCAACUGUAACAAAAUCUAGUUUUUCUCAGGGUCAUAGCAGAGGUUCCAGAGAUAGAUCUUCAGGCACUUCAAAAUCAAGGAAAGAGCAUGGUGAAAGAUUGCCAGAUGAUGAUUUUAUCGAUGACGUAGAUGAAGGUGGCUAUGAAUAUUCCUUCAUGAAGCCUGUUAGCUUACCAUUACGAUUAUCUGAAAAUUAUGCCCUAGAAGAUAUCUGUGAUGAUGAAGAAAUAGCUCCUGGUGUUAAAAGUAAGUUGUUGCACCAUAGUCUAAUGUGUUUCUGUGACUAUUCAUAAUGUGAGGAAAUAUGAUUUUUUUAAAAAACUGAGUGUUUUUACAGGUAAAAAAUUAAAUUUUCGAAUGUAGGUAAUGUGUGCUCAACAUAUUAUUUGGCUUGUUCUGAUGACGUGAAACUACGAUCUGACCGUAACUAUCUUUACCUUAUGUCACAAAACACUUUACUCUAAUGUAAUAAUUGAAUGCCAAAUAG
rnacentral:lncRNA from 1 species